UUGGCUCUGGCAUCGAUGAAGAACGCAGGGAAUUGCGAUAAGUAAUGUGAAUUGCAGAAUUCAGUGAAUCAUAGAAUCUUUGAACGCACAUUGCGCUUUUCAGUAUUCUGGUUGACAUGCCUGUUCGAGCGUCAUUACAACCGUCAGGCCCCCGGGCCUGGCGUUGGGGAUCGGCGGAAGCCCCCUGCGGGCACAACGCCGUCCCCCAAAUACAGUGGGGGUCCCGCCGCAGCUUCCAUUGCGUAGUAGCUAACACCUCACAACGGGAGAGCGGCGCGGCCACUUCUUUAACGUACAACUUGUAAAUUGUCAUCGCCCUUCCGAUAAAGG
rnacentral:rRNA from 1 species